ensembl:lncRNA
UUUUUUUUUAGCAUUUAUUAAACAUGUAUUAAGAGUUUGCUGCUCUUCAGUACAAAGCGCAGAUAAUCGGUGCAGGCUGACAGUGAUAAACGAGCUGUUCGCUGCAUUAAUGUAUUUAUUUAUUAUUCCAUAUGUGCUUAAUUUAAUGAUGUUGUCCUGUUAAUAAUUAGUGUUAUCACACACACACAUACACCCAGAGCAGCAGCCACGGUAGUCAUAUUGGAGUGAAAGCUGGAGCUUCCGCCUUGUUUCAGAUUUUCUUGAAAUCGCCCAUCCAUCAUCUCUGCCGCCAUCAAUCGAAUAAUACGAGACAACUGCAAUUUCGUCUCGUAUCGAACCACAGAUACGUGACCUGCUCCACGAACCGCUGCUGCGGCCUCAGCUGCUUUCUCCUUAGGCCCGCUGUUCAAGUAAAACACAAAGCUCUGCUCCGUGCUCGUUUUUGCUUUCCUCCGUAAAGUCUUUAUUUACUUUUAGUGCAGAUUUGUUGUCCGUGAUUUGGUGCUACAAAAUGAUUUUAAACAUUGUCAGGAAUUCAACUCACAACCAUCAUCUCAUAUUCCGUCAUCCAGAUCCUUCCAUCCAGGAGUCUAAAAACUGUGAGAUGUCAAACAGAAGAAAGAAAUGCAGAAACAAACAAUCACAGAGUUUUCUUACAAAAUCUUGCUUUGAGCUUGGCUACAAAACGUGUCCGUGAGAAGAGCUGCAGUCUAACGUCUAACAGAUCACAAGCACGAAUAUGGACUGAAAGAGCCAAACAAAGAGCACAAAUCUCUACAGCACAAUCGAGUUCCCAUCGUUUUAGAAACAUAUGGGUUUUUUCUCAUCAAGGUGUGUGUGUGUGUGUGUGUGUGUGUGUGUGUGUGUGUGUGUGUGUGUGUGUGUGUGUGUGUGUGUGUGUGUGUGGUUUUCGUUGUACAGUUUUUUUUAAGAGGUGGUCAAAAGGUAGGGGUGUGUGUGUUGGGGAGGGUGGACAGGAAAAACAAAGAAGUCUGUCUUUGUAGAAAAAUAAAUAAAUAAUUUAAAAUGAAACAGAGGAUAUGUUUGGUUCUUCCUCUCUAUAGUCAUUGCUCUUCUAAUUUCCUGUGCAGACGCAAAGCUCCUCAGCUCACAUCAAAAAUCUGUGGGCUGAGUUGAUGACACGUUUCCGUGGUGAUCCUCCACAGGCGCACGCAGGACGUGGGAGUGGUACUGUCAGGUAGAUGUACGGUCAGAAGUGUGACUUGUCAACAGAUCUGUGCAGCCAGAAGGAGAUCCCUGAGCCAACCAUGAAGGCCUGGACACAAAGAAAGGAGAUGAGUCCACAGCUGCUCUGACCCACUGACCCACAACAUGUCCUGUCUCUGAAAAAACACUUUAAUGUAGAUCUUGCUCUAAGACAUGCCAUAGAAACUGUCUCUUAUCUGAUCAUAUCCUAAUAACAUUUACAUUUACAAUGAUAGACUACACAGCAUUGGCAAGUAGGCUUCAUCACAGCAGAUUUUAACCAUUAGAGGAAAAGUUACUCAUAAUCAUCUCACAGAUGUAACGGUAUGUACGGUUACUUUCAGUACCAAUUAGAAAUUAGAAAUAUCCUGUCUCAGAGUGACGCUGAAAAACUAGUUGAUGCAUUUAGUACUUCUAGGCUGGACUACUGUAAUUCAUUAUUGUCAGGAAGUCCUAAAAACUCACUGAAAGCCUUCAGUUAAUCCAAAAUACUGCAGCAAGAGUCCUGACAGGGACUAGAAAGAGAGAGCAGAUUUCUCCAGUAUUGGCUUCCCUUCAUUGGCUCCCAGAAUUGCAUUAAAAUCCUGCUCCUCACAUACAACGUCUUAAAAGAUCAGGGCUCAUCUUAUUCUAUUGACGUUGCUGUACCAUAUCACCCAAUUAGAGCACUCAGACUGCAGGCUUAUUUGUGGUUCCUAGAGUAUUUAAAAGUAGAAUGGGAGGCAGAGCCUUCAGUUUUCAGGCCCCUCUUCUAUGGAACCAGCUUCCGGUUUGGAUUCUGGUUUUUGAAUAUUCUUCGAUUUUGUGUUUUUCAUGGUUUAGUAAUUUGUAUUUCUUUCUUCUUUAGUUAUUCUCUUUUUAUAUUUUGUGGUUUCUACUUCUUAGGUUUCACUACUCCUCUGUGGUCCAUGUAUCAUGUCAAGUUAAUUAUGUUCUGUUCCCCAGUUCCAGUGUCGCGUCUGUGUCUCAGCAUGUUUCCUGUUUUAUUAUGAUAGUCCCUCGUCUUGUGUUUAGUGUGUUCAGUUUUGCUUCCUCCCUGUCCCAUUGCUUCUGAUAAGCCACAGCUGUGUUUCCCUCCUGUUUCCCAUCCCCUCAUUAUCAGUGUGUAUUUAGUCCUCUGUUCUCCUCUGUCUGUUGUUGGUCCAUCUGCUUGUCUUCCCUCAUGUUUCCCCAAGACCCAGGUUUUAUUUUUCAGGUUCUUGUAUUGUUUUUCUAUGCAUCUCGUGCUUUUGUGUUUAGCUUCUCCCAGUUUAGGUUUUGUUAGUUCUAUCUCAUUCUUCCCUCACUUUAGUUUGUUUGCGUAGACCUCAGCAGAUGUGACACAGAUACCACAACUUUUAAGAUUAGGCUUAAAACACUCCUUUUUGCUAAAAAAUAUAAUUAGGGCUGGAUCAGGUGACCCUGAAUCCUCCCUUAGUUAUGCUACAAUUCCCUGCUAGGCCCACAUCCUCAUUUUCGACAGCAUUUUUUUUAGUAGAUAAAGGUGAAUGGCUUAAACAUGAAUUGAGCUGCCGUUUGGGGAAGGCCUCGGAGGGGACUGGUGGUGGCUCCUGGGCCUGGCAGAUCCCCAAUGAAGGCAUCUCGCAUGAGAAGCAGUAAUAACUGUGAUAAUAAUUACUAAUAACAGUAAUAAUAACUAUUCAUACUGUGCGGUAUGAAGGCCAAAGACCUCUGCAGUAAUAUCACUGGUAGGCAUAGCGCAGAUAAGCAGCCCGUGGCCUCAAUAAGGUUGUCGAGGAUUCCAUAGAGUGGAGCGGAUGGGCUCAGAAAAAUCGGGAAGAAAUGGUGGGAGAGGAGAUCAAAGAAAAUUUCAGACAAUGAAAG